CACAAGGCUGUGCUGAUAAGCCACACGUGGAAUGUCAUGGGUCGCGAUUAUCAGAGGACAUGAGAGAAAAUAACUUCACCGCAAUGGUUGUGUAAUCUGUUGACAAAUGGAAGAGAUUAAUAAUUGAUGAAGCAUUACUAGCUCUGAAAUACCGAAAUAUUAUUUAGUAUUUGUUCUCACUAUACUUUAGCACGCACACAUGAUGCAAAUGUUACUUUGCUAGAAUUUGAUUAAAGGUAAUUUUAAAAUAUACAGACUAUAAAUUUCAUACGUUAAAAUAAUGUUUAAAUUACAUAUUAUAUCCCGUUCGGCAACAAUGUCCCAUUGCACUUGUAUCAACACAUUUGUUUUUGAAACUACACCAAUACAUCGUGAAUGACGCAAUGGACGAUUAUACAUACAUAUUUAUUACUUAUGUAAUAUUCUCAUUGUUAAAUAAAACAAACAAAAUCGUGAUAUGUAGUGUCAUUCUCAUUGAUUUAAAAGGUUAAAUGAAAACGUUUUGGUUUUAGGUUAUAAUUACAUAAUAUACCUACUGAACAUAAAUACUGUUAUAGAUAAAAUAAUUGGAUUUAAAUUUAGAAUCUGUGGUUGACAUGUAUUGUUUGUAAAAAUAGCGGGCUAACUCGCUUGUCCAUGGGGUUGUGAUUGUUAACUAUGAAAUUCAUUAGAAAAAAUAUUGGUCGGAGCAGGAAAAAUUAUGCUUGUAUUAUAUAUGUAUAUUGUAUUUUCUCAUAUUGAUGCCGAUCUAUGUUAAAUAUGUGAUAUUAUAAUGAAGUGAAUCAAUCCAAAAGAGCAGUGAAAACGUUUAUAUGUAGCGCAUGUUUCAAUUGAUAUAUA